UAUAUAUUAGUGUAUGAUGCACGAAGAAUUUUGAUUUCUUUUGAUUUAGUUUGAAUCUAAAAUAUAUAA
rnacentral:tRNA from 1 species